rnacentral:rRNA from 1 species
UUUGGUGAUUUGGCUACAGUGAUACACCUAGUAACAUACCGAACCUAGAAGUUAAGACUGUGUGCGUCGAAGAUACUCAGAAAUGGGGAAAAUAGAUGAUUGCCAAAU